CAGCUCUUGACAUGUCCCGUAUGAGUACCAGAGAUGGAACUCUUCAGUUCGGCUGGCGGGAACACAGGUGCUGCAUGGCUGUCGUCAGCUCGUGUCGUGAGAUGUUGGGUUAAGUCCCGCAACGAGCGCAACCCUCGCCCUUAGUUGCCAUCAUUUAGUUGGGCACUCUAAGGGGACUGCCGGUGAUAAGCCGCGAGGAAGGUGGGGAUGACGUCAAGUCCUCAUGGCCCUUACGGGCUGGGCUACACACGUGCUACAAUGGCGGUGACAAUGGGAUGCUGAGGGGUAACCCCGAGCAAAUCUCAAAAAGCCGUCUCAGUUCGGAUUGUGCUCUGCAACUCGAGCACAUGAAGUUGGAAUCGCUAGUAAUCGCAGAUCAGCACGCUGCGGUGAAUACGUUCCC
rnacentral:rRNA from 1 species